CUACGGGCGGCUCCAGUGAGGAAUAUUGCACAAUGGAGGAAACUCUGAUGCAGCAACGCCGCGUGGAGGAUGACGCAUUUCGGUGUGUAAACUCCUUUUAUGAGUCAAGAAAAUGACGGUAGCUCAUGAAUAAGCACCGGCUAACUCCGUGCCAGCAGCCGCGGUAAUACGGAGGGUGCAAGCGUUACUCGGAAUCACUGGGCGUAAAGGACGCGUAGGCGGGAUAUCAAGUCAGGUGUGAAAUCCUACAGCUUAACUGUAGAACUGCACUUGAAACUGGUAACCUAGAGUAUGGGAGGGGGAGAUGGAAUUAGUGGUGUAGGGGUAAAAUCCGUAGAUAUCACUAGGAAUACCUAAAGCGAAGGCGAUCUCCUGGAACAUAACUGACGCUAAGGCGUGAAAGCGUGGGGAGCAAACAGGAUUAGAUACCCUUAGUAGUC
rnacentral:rRNA from 1 species